rnacentral:rRNA from 1 species
GACGAACGCUGGCGGCGUGCCUAAUACAUGCAAGUAGAACGCACAGUUUAUACCGUAGCUUGCUCCACCAUAAACUGUGAGUUGCGAACGGGUGAGUAACGCGUAGGUAACCUGCCUGGUAGCGGGGGAUAACUAUUGGAAACGAUAGCUAAUACCGCAUCAUAUUGAUUAUUGCAUGAUAAUUGAUUGAAAGAUGCUAUUGCAUCACUACCAGAUGGACCUGCGUUGUAUUAGCUAGUAGGUGAGGUAACGGCUCACCUAGGCGACGAUACAUAGCCGACCUGAGAGGGUGAUCGGCCACACUGGGACUGAGACACGGCCCAGACUCCUACGGGAGGCAGCAGUAGGGAAUCUUCGGCAAUGGACGAAAGUCUGACCGAGCAACGCCGCGUGAGUGAAGAAGGUUUUCGGAUCGUAAAGCUCUGUUGUAAGAGAAGAACGGGUGUGAGAGUGGAAAGUUCACACUGUGACGGUAUCUGACCAGAAAGGGACGGCUAACUACGUG